AUACGGAGGAUGCGAGCGUUAUCCGGAUUUAUUGGGUUUAAAGGGUGCGUAGGCGGCCUUGUAAGUCAGCGGUGAAAUUUUGCAGCUUAACUGUAAAAGUGCCGUUGAUACUGUGAGGCUAGGAUUUGGUUGCUGUGGGUGGAAUGUGUGGUGUAGCGGUGAAAUGCUUAGAGAUCACACAGAAUAUCGAUUGCGAAGGCAGCUCACAAAGCCAAGAUUGAGGCUGAGGCACGAAAGUGUGGGGAUCAAACAGGAUUAGAUACCCUGGUAGUCCACACUGUAAACGAUGAUAACUCGCUGUCGGCGAUAUACAGUCGGUGGCCAAGCGAAAGCGAUAAGUUAUCCACCUGGGGAGUACGACCGCAAGGUUGAAACUCAAAUGAAUUGACGGGG
rnacentral:rRNA from 1 species